UGGAGAAGGUGUCUAAUGAGAAAGAGAUUUUCAAGUAUGGCCGAUUACCUACAGAUGGACGACAGGGUGUUAACAGAAAUGCCAGGCUGAGGCAUGAACAACACAUACUGAAGUCCCAAUAUUUAAAAUCUGGAUUCAUUAAAUUAAUGAGAACAUUGAAUUAGGAUUUAUAUGUGUCCCUGCUUGUUAUCCACCGGAUUGGAGGAGGGGGAGUGUGUUAAUACAAAGUACAUUGUAGCAUCUCAAAAAAACAACAUCUGAUGUUAUGCUGGGCACCUCUCUGUUUUUUUAUUUAAAGCUAGAAAGAAUUGAAGAAGCAGAAACAGCAUCUAUUGCCUUCAAACUAGCCCUACCAUCUGCUGUGCAUCUUAUUUGCAAAUAGAGAAGAAAGAUUAUUUGCAGCUGCAGCACAACAAAGUACGAUGGGAGUGAGAGAAAUGGCUGGAUACCAAUGAAAGGUUCUUACCAAAUGAACAGAGAUAUAAUAACGAAAAGGAUCGGGUAGGGCUAGGCCGCCCCUAUCCUUUGCUAGGAGCAUAGAGCUAUCAACUGACCUCGCAGGACACAUUUGUGAGCUUCCCAAAGAAUCCCAGGGUUGGUAUCAGCUCACCUUUCAGUGACGCAGUCAUAUCCUGAAGCAUCUCCUUGAUAUCUGAGCGAGAGGGGAGAUUAGCGAGAACUAGGACACAGUUAUAGUAUACUGCAGCUCUGUGUAUUUGCUGAUGAACUAGGAGCAACAUUUGCGAUAUAAAGUUCAACCAAGCAGUACCUUCUCGAUGGGAGACAGAACAUCUCCCAGGCAACACAAGCAGCAGCUGAUGACCUGAUCUACGAGAACCUUAGCUCGCUAGUAUGGAUUUUUAAACAUUAUCUGGUUGCUAGGAUGCCAAAGAACCUAACUAUCUGGAAGAUGAAUAGGAGAGACACUCAAGAAAAAUACAA